rnacentral:rRNA from 1 species
UACGAAGGGGGCUAGCGUUGUUCGGAAUUACUGGGCGUAAAGCGCGCGCAGGCGGUCUUCCAAGUCAGUGGUGAAAGCCCGGAGCUCAACUCCGGAACUGCCAUUGAAACUGUUGGACUUGAGUACGAGAGAGGUGGGUGGAAUUCCCAGUGUAGAGGUGAAAUUCGUAGAUAUUGGGAAGAACACCGGUGGCGAAGGCGGCUCACUGGCUCGUAACUGACGCUCAGGCGCGACAGCGUGGGGAUCAAACAGG